rnacentral:rRNA from 1 species
CCUACGGGGGGCUGCAGUGGGGAAUAUUGGACAAUGGGCGAAAGCCUGAUCCAGCCAUGCCGCGUGUGUGAAGAAGGCCUUCGGGUUGUAAAGCACUUUCAGUGGGGAAGAAAGCCUUGGGGCUAAUACCCUCGAGGAAGGACAUCACCCACAGAAGAAGCACCGGCUAACUCCGUGCCAGCAGCCGCGGUAAUACGGAGGGUGCGAGCGUUAAUCGGAAUUACUGGGCGUAAAGCGCGCGUAGGCGGUCUGAUAAGCCGGUUGUGAAAGCCCCGGGCUCAACCUGGGAACGGCAUCCGGAACUGUCAGGCUAGAGUGCAGGAGAGGAAGGUAGAAUUCCCGGUGUAGCGGUGAAAUGCGUAGAGAUCGGGAGGAAUACCAGUGGCGAAGGCGGCCUUCUGGACUGACACUGACGCUGAGGUGCGAAAGCGUGGGUAGCAAACAGGUUUAGAUACCCUGGUAGU